UACCAGCACCCCGAGUGGUCGGGACGUUUAUUGGGCCUAAAGCAUCCGUAGCCGGUUCUACAAGUCUUCCGUUAAAUCCACCUGCUCAACAGAUGGGCUGCGGAAGAUACUAUGGAGCUAGGAGGCGGGAAAGGCAAGCGGUACUCGAUGGGUAGGGGUAAAAUCCGUUGAUCCAUUGAAGACCACCAGUGGCGAAGGCGGCUUGCCAGAACGCGCUCGACGGUGAGGGAUGAAAGCUGGGGGAGCAAACCGG
rnacentral:rRNA from 1 species